UACGUAGGGGGCUAGCGUUGUCCGGAAUCAUUGGGCGUAAAGAGCGUGUAGGCGGCCCGGUAAGUCCGCUGUAAAAGUCAAAGGCUCAACCUUUGAAUGUCAGUGGAUACUGCCGGGCUAGAGUCCGGAAGAGGCGAGUGGAACUCCUGGUGUAGCGGUGGAAUGCGCAGAUAUCAGGAGGAACACCAAUGGCGAAGGCAGCUCACUGGGACGGUAUUGACGCUGAGACGCGAAGGCGUGGGGAGCAAACAGG
rnacentral:rRNA from 1 species